rnacentral:rRNA from 1 species
UACGUAGGGUGCGAGCGUUAAUCGGAAUUACUGGGCGUAAAGCGUGCGCAGGCGGUUCGUUAAGUCAGAUGUGAAAGCCCCGGGCUCAACCUGGGAACUGCAUUUGAAACUGGCGGGCUUGAGUGUGGCAGAGGGGGGUGGAAUUCCGCGUGUAGCAGUGAAAUGCGUAGAGAUGCGGAGGAACACCGAUGGCGAAGGCAGCCCCCUGGGCCAACACUGACGCUCAGGCACGAAAGCGUGGGGAGCGAACAGG